rnacentral:rRNA from 1 species
GACGGAGGGUGCAAACGUUGUUCGGAAUCACUGGGCGUAAAGGGCGCGUAGGCGGACUUGUAAGUCGGGAGUGAAAACUCGGGGCUCAACCCCGAGCCUGCUUCUGAAACUGCGAGUCUUGAGGACCGGAGAGGAAAGUGGAAUUCCUAGUGUAGAGGUGAAAUUCGUAGAUAUUAGGAAGAACACCGGUGGCGAAGGCGGCCCACUGGCUCGACACUGACGCUGAGGUGCGAAAGCGUGGGGAGCAAACAGG